GGCUCCUCACAGCGAGGAUGGGGAUGAAAAGGGAAUCGGGUGAAAGUCCCGAACAGUCCCGCUGCUGUGAACUCCGUAGCAAACCCUGUCGAACAAUCCGCAACAUGUCACUGUCUGAGCACAGAUGGGAAGACGGACAGGGCUGGAGUAAGUCAGAAGACCUGCAAAG
rnacentral:ncRNA from 1 species